UAAAGGAGAAUAACCUGAUCGGUGGAGAAAUUCGUCACCAUCCACCUCUUCCUCACAUUCAUUCAUCUCAUUAGUUACUCUAUAAAUAAAUACCACUCUCCAUUCCUCUACACUCCCACUUUCAUAUAUCACAAAAAUCGACUGAAAUGGCCAAGUUAUUGGGUCCUCUUCCAAACUAUACCUUCAUUUUCCUAUCUUUCCUCCUCCUGGUUUACUCCGGUAAUUAAGCACUAUCUUUAUUCAUAUAUACAUCUAUUAAGCUGCAUAAAUGUUGUACGUUAGAUCAUAUUGAAAGUUAGAAAACUUGAAAGUUUUUUUUGGAACAACAGGGACGCAAAUGGUGGAAGCACAGGUUUGCUCGAGGCCAAGUCAAACAACGGGAGUAAUUACUUGUCCGAGCAAUUUGCUUUGCGACCGACGAUGCAGGGACAUUGAAGGUGCCAUGUAUGGUGCGUGUCAGCCCCGACUCCUAGGGUCGACAUGUUUAUGCUACGUUAGAUGCUGACCAUCAUAGCAUCUAUGUAUGAAUGAAGAUUGCACCACGUCCAACCUUCAUCUUAUGUAGGGAUACAACUCAGUACUACUCAUGCCACUGUUAUGUUUUACUAUCUGAAUAAAACCGGUGCGAUUACUAUUACAUGAUUAAGCUGCCAUGGGCAUGGCUCUUCUAUGACUACAUUUUACAAAAUUAAUUAUAAAAUAAAUAUUAACUUUAAUUAUAUUAAAUAAAUAUUAUUUUAAUAUUUCAAGGUUAGGAUUAUAAUAAACUAAUUAUCAUUCAUAAUUUAUCAUACAAAAUAUAUAUGAGAUAAAUUAAAGUAAAAAAAAAUAUGGUAUGGGAAAAUUAAAACACGAUCUCAACACAAAAACUAUUUUUAGGACUAUACAAAGACGAGUGAUAUCAUUUAUUUGAUUUCCAUUAAUUUAAUCAUUGGAUAUCGGGAAAACAAAAAAAUCUUUAAUCAAAAACUGUUUUCAUUGCACACUAAUGAAUAUUUAGAGUGUGGAGGAAAAAAUGAUAAUUAAGAGAUAUUGAUAAUUACCGUAAUUUGUCUUCUCAGAAAUAUCGUUUCACUAAGAAAAAUAUUCUUGUGAUAGGUUCUGUUCCUAGUAAAAAAUAUAGUGAAAUCAUAUUUCCUAUUCUUUCCUCGGACUAUGCUAGUAAUAAAAAUGUUCAUUUCUUAAAACAUCCUAUAUACAUAGGCGGAAACAGGGGAAGGGGCCAGAUUUAUCCCGACGGGAACAAAAGUAAUAAUACUGUUUAUAUGGGGUAUGAAAUAACCAUAAUGGAUGCCUUGGAUGGACAUCAAGUGGUUGAUAUUAUACCCCCCAAGACUACAAUUUCUUGUUUCAGAGGGUGAAUCUAUCAAACUCGAUCAACUACUAACAAUUAAUCCUAAUGUAGGUGGAUUUGGUUAGGGGGAUACAGAAAUAGUACUUCAAGACCCACGUACUACACAUCCAAGGUCUUUUGUUCUUCUUGGCAUAUAUUGUUUUUGCACAAAUCUUUUUUGUUCUUAAAAAAAAAAACAGUUUGAGAAGGUUCAAGUGUACGAAAUGAAAUUCCAGAUCUGUGGAUUUAUCAACAUCAAGAGCAAUUAGGUUAGGUAUAAUGAAAAAAAGAAUGAAAAUCCUUUUGCUUGUUUAUAUUCUUUCUCUAGGAAUUGCUUUUACCGCAUUCAAAACAAAAUAUGUAUAUUAUGAAGAAUUAAUUCAAUGAACAAACUAUUCAUAAAAACAAAGCUUUCUAUCCUAUUCCAUAUAUUCUAUAACUCCUUAUCGUGUUAAUUAUCAAUUAUUAGGUAUUGAUAUUCAUGAGCAAUAGAAAUUAAUAUUUAGGGAUAGAUAUUGCCUUUCUUUUUCUUAUUUCAAAUAAAUUGAAAUGAUUGAAGUUUUUCUAUUUAGAAUCGUCUUAGGUCUAAUUCCUAUUACUUUGGCUAGAUUAUUUGUAACCGCAUAUUUACAAUAUAGACGUGGUGAUCAGUUGGACCUUUGAUUAAUUAACAUACCUUUUUUUAUUGACCCUUUUAAUUCUUGAAUUUUUUUAAUUUCAAUUUAUUUAAUAAUUUAAUCCAAGGAGGUCAAAUUCGAAUUGUUGUUCAAUUCUUUUAUUGACCGAAAAAAAAAUAGCAUUGAAAUAUAUUUUUAUUGACCAAUCAGAAUUGUCUCCCAAGAUCUAUAAUUGUCCCAAAAAGUCCAAUAUACAUACAUUAUUGGACCUUUUGAAUAGCAGUCGAGAAAACCUUAUGAAAAUUGAACACUUUCGCAUAGAAGAUGUAAAAUAAAUAUUGGGGGCGAGUAGGGACCCCUAAAUGGAAAGUUUUUCAUUUAGGCCCUUUAAAAUUUUUAAAAUUUUAAAUUAGUAUACUUUGGUUCCCCUACAAAUGAUAAAAAUUUAAUUUAAUAUUUUAAGAAUUAUAAAUAAAUAGGUUAUUCAAAUGGUGAAAUUGUAUUUUUACUCUCGUAAAAAUUAUAAUUUAAUUUCGACCCCUAAAAAAUUUGUUUCGGUUAUCCCAAAAUAUGUUAGAUUAAAUGCGAGGUUGUAGAAGUUAUUUUGAUAUGAAUGAAUUAAGUUUGUAAAUGACAUUGAAUUUGCAAUAUAAAGGAAAUGAUUGCAACGAGUUAAAUAGGUUUAUAUUCUCAAAAUAAAGUUUGUAUUAAAAAAAUUAUUCGAUAGUUUUAAAUUUUAUAAAUAGGUUAAGAGAUUGAUAGAUAAACCAAUAAUUUGUUUCAAUAUCCAGUGGAAAUAUUUCUUACAAGGGAAAUUGUUCCACGGUUGGACACUGCUUUUCACUUGUGUAAUACACUUUAAUUAAUUUAUAUAAAUAAUAAAAAUAAACUAUUGUGAUCAAUAUUAUUAUUUUAUUAAUAAAACCAUAGUUUAAUAUAUUUUUAAUAAUUUCAUAAAAAUGAAAUAAUUUAAAACUUUUAUAAUGUCUUUUUUAGUCUAGUUAUUUUCAUUCUUAUCUCAAUGGUAUAGUUACUUUUGAAUCAAAAUAAAUAUCUCAUUAUUAUUUUUUAAAUCACCACUGCAAUAGUUUUAAUUUAACUAGAAAAGGAAGCUUAGAAUGCAUUUAUUGCAUAGAAAAUUGUUUUCGAAAAACCAUUUGCUUAAAAUAUAUUUAGUUGGUAAAACUUUCAAACAAAAUUAUUUUCAUAACUAACGUAGAAAAGGAAUUUCAAAUGUUAAAUAAAUCAAUAAGCAGCAUUAAUUUAAAAUGUUAUAUUUUUCUUAUCUACGUAAAUACAGUCAAUUUGCAGAACUAAACAAACAGUUCAAUUGAGUAAUUACAUGAACUGAUUUUCUAAAAGGAACCACAUCAAUAGACGCUUCUCAAGCUUUCCGAAGUCUGCUCUCAUCAAUUUUCAGAGCAUCAUCUUCAUCACUAGCCUCUCCCUCUCCAUCGUUUUUACUAACGCUUUCAUCAUCUUCUUCUCUAUCUUUCGGUCAGUCCAUUUGGUCGGAUUGGGGCGAGCAAAUAAAGAAGACUAGGCUACGGUAAGGGCCUAAGGGGUAUCCAAUGGAUAGGAAAUGAAACUCGUUGAAAAGAAAAAUUAUAGGGCUUACUCGAAUGCCUUCAUUUCCAUUUUGGGUGGGUCUCUUUUGUCUUUAAUGCUCGACAAGCCCACCCCUUUCCUCAUUUCAAGCGGUUCCGAAAGAGACCCCAUGUCUGACAACAGUCCCAAGUUUACUUAGACAUGUAUAAAUGAUGUUACUUGCUUCACAGCUUUCUUUCUUUGUUGUUUUGUUCUAAAGGUGAAUAACCUGAUCGGUGGAGAAAUUCAUCAUCAUCAUCAUCAUCAUCAUCAUGCACCUCUUCCUCACAUUCAUUCAUCUCAUUAGUUACUCUACAAAUAAAUACCACCCUCCAUAUUCCUCUACACUCCCACUUUCAUAUAUCACAAAAAUCAACUGAAAUGGCUAAGUUAUUGGGUCCUCUUCCAAACUAUACCUUCCUUUUCCUAUCUUUCCUCCUCCUGGUUUACUCCGGUAAUUAAGCACCAUCUCAUUUUAUAAUCUUCCGAUACUUAGGAAUCUAUACUUACUGAAUAUAAUUUGAUCUAAUGCUAAGAUAUGUUUGGUUAAACUUUAACGUUUUUGUGGAACAACAGGAGG
rnacentral:lncRNA from 1 species